AACGGGUGAGUAAUACAUCGGAACGUACCUUAUCGUGGGGGAUAACGCAGCGAAAGCUGUGCUAAUACCGCAUACGCCCUGAGGGGGAAAGCGGGGGAUCGAAAGACCUCGCGCGAUUAGAGCGGCCGAUGCUUGAUUAGCUUGUUGGUGGGGUAAAAGCCCACCAAGGCGACGAUCAAUAGCUGGUCUGAGAGGACGAUCAGCCACACUGGGACUGAGACACGGCCCAGACUCCUACGGGAGGCAGCAGUGGGGAAUUUUGGACAAUGGGGGAAACCCUGAUCCAGCAAUGCCGCGUGAGUGAAGAAGGCCUUCGGGUUGUAAAGCUCUUUUGUCAGGGAAGAAACACCGGCUCUAACACAGUCCGGGAAUGACGGUACCUGAAGAAUAAGCACCGGCUAACUACGUGCCAGCAGCCGCGGUAAUACGUAGGGUGCGAGCGUUAAUCGGAAUUACUGGGCGUAAAGCGUGCGCAGGCGGUUAUACAAGACAGGCGUGAAAUCCCCGGGCUCAACCUGGGAAUGGCGCCUGUGACUGUAUAGCUAGAGUGUGUCAGAGGGGGGUAGAAUUCCACGUGUAGCAGUGAAAUGCGUAGAUAUGUGGAGGAAUACCAAUGGCGAAGGCAGCCCCCUGGGAUAACACUGACGCUCAUGCACGAAAGCGUGGGGAGCAAAACAGGAUUAGAUACCCUGGUAGUCCAC
rnacentral:rRNA from 1 species